CUGAGGCCCUGGUCUGGGGCCGUGGAAGCCAUCGGAGGCUCCAGGGUCAGGCUCAGGGAGCCCAGUCCUGGGGGUCUGCGCAGCUGGCUCCCGACAAGGCCCAGCUCAUCUCGCUGGUUUGAACUUGGUGGAAGAUAAUGCUGCAUCUCCUUUGGCAUGAGCAUCCUUUGUUCUUAAAAGUUACCUAAUGACUUGGCAGAGGAAUCCAGUCAUUUACUUGUCAGUGAAAUGCCACAAAUAAGGCCACAGCCCUGGCAUGAGACAAGGUGCCGUGACAUCACCGGCCAGCUUGUUCCCAGGCAAGGCGCUGCUCAGGCUGAAACACGGUCGGUUGGUGUGACCCAGGAAAGUAGCCUUGAGGUGGCCACCCCGGGUUCCCUUCUCAAUCAGAAAUCUACGCUGUAAGUGGGAAAACCGCCUUGCCAUUUAAUCCAAGUCUAAUGCUGCUCUUCAGUCUCUCAGGGGUUUACAAACCUUUCUCCUUCAGACUACAGCCAUUAUCUGGAUUGUCUCCCUGCCCAUCACCUGCCCCCUCCGACCAGGCACUCCGGCUCUGAGCUAGCCCCCGGGUGCCAGGCACUCUGCCAGGCCUCCUGCUACCCCUUUCACAGAACCCGAUCUGUACCUGACCACGAAAGGAGGGCUACUUCCCAGCUCCGCCCCCUGCCCAGGGGCGUCCUCCUCACUCAGGUCCACACCACCUGUUACCGGUGCUCUCGGAAUGACUAUCGCAAAUAGCAGAGACCACAUGGGGAGGACCCCAAAGCCUCCGAGAAUUUGCUUUGGACAAUGAUAGAUCAGUGAGUCCCAGAGAGUCAUGCAGACCCCGGGGACCCUGACCUCUUCCAAGAGGUUCAUAAGGCCAGCACUGUUUGUAGUGCAGACUGAUCUCAGGGCGAGGCGUGCUGGGCCAGCACUCCCCAGAGCUCACUGGGUGGACAAGCCCCUCGGGACGCAGAAGCAUGUGCCCUAGCACACAGCAGCCAGAGGCCCCAAGCAACUGUUGGACACCACCUGCCUCGACCCCACGAAGUGACACAGAGAGCCAGAUUACGUAACAAUGAAGCAGUAGGGAGGACCAAGUCCCUGCACCCCUCUCCUCCAUACCCCUGUGCCCCAGGCCCCUUGGCCUCUAGGAAAGCCCUGGGGCUCCCAGGCAGAGCCCAUUUUUGCCUGGAAGGGCUCCUGGCACGCGGGUAUCCAGACGUGGGCAUCUGGCAGAUGUUUCCUUAGGAACAAGUUAAGGGAACUUCAAGGAAAGCCACGCUGCAUUUGAUGCCCAUGAUGAAAAGAGCCUUCAGCAAAAAUCGGUAUUUGAGGAAAUUCGUGUCUACCUCCGAGAGCCUGGCGGUGUCCACCGACUCUGAUGUAAUCAGUGUCGAGACUAAUGAACGUGAUCUUUGUAUUUGCAUAAUCGUGACAUAUGUCAGCAUUUGGGAGGUUUGAAUAAUUCAGGGAACCAGUACUUCCCAAAGGACCACGGUGUGAUGUCACAAAGCCAUGCCUGAGUGUCAGCUCCUGGCAGUGCCAGAUGGCCCCGAGGCUCACACGAGUGGACGUGGAGAGGUCCUGGGUGGGGCUGCAGAUGCCACUUUGCAAUUAACUUUAAAAAAGUGUCACUGUGGAGGCCGGGGGUGGCCCUGUGGAAAGCACUUGCCUGGCGUGUGGAGACCCUGGGAUCCACCCGGCACUUCGGGGAAACGGGAUUAAAGAAGAGAGGAGGGGGAAUAGUAUCCCUGCCUGAGUUUCAUGAACUCCAAGAAUAUUCAGUUUUCUACAAAGGCUAUUAAGACAUCCUCCUUGCCAGGUGCAGGGGCACACGCCUGUGAUCCCAGUGGCUCGGGAGGACGAGGCAAGAGGAUCAUGAGUUCAAAGCCACCCUCAGCAACUUAGCGAGACCCUGUCUCUAAACAAGAUAUAAAAAGGGCUGGGUGGGGCCGGGGCCGGGGCCGGGGCCGUGGCCGUGGCUCAGUGGUAGAGCACUCGCUGGGUUCGAGCCCUGGGUUUGAGCCUCAGCACCAUGUGAAAAUAAAUAAAAUAAAGGUAUUGUGUCCAACUACAACUAAAAAAAUAAAAGGGCUGGGAAUGUGGCUCAGUGCUUAGGGCCCUGGGUUCAAUCCCUGGUUCCAACAACAACAACAAAAACCCUCCUCUUUCAAUUACUAUGUAUGUGAGAGUCUGUUAUUUUUAAAUGAAUUAGUAUUUUAAUAUUUUUGAGAUGUCUCAGUUUUAAUUUCUAACAUCAACCCAUAGACAGAAGCUCUUUGGGGACUUCAAUAAUGCUGGACAGUGCUAAUGGGGUCCUGCGCUGUGAGCUUGAGAAACGCUGGUACUCACCAUCAUCUGAUGAAAUCAGCGGAAAAAAAGGGACACAAAGAAACGUCCGCAUUGUCAUUGUCCCUGGGGUCCAGAUCUGGGUGCUGUAACUGCGCUUUAAGGAGCCACCCGUGCGCGGUAGCGCUGGGGGCCACUGGCCACCUUUAUGUUUUGUGAGUGGGGCUGACGGCGUGGGAGAGCCAACCUGGGCCCAGGCCUCGCCGCACCCCAGACCCGCCCUGGAGCACCUGCCACUGACCUGUGCUCAGAGGCUCCAACAGAACCACAGAACGCUGUGGACGCCAGGGAACAACGAGGAGCAGAGCGGCGCCCUCUCUGCCGCCUGGCCAUGGAGCACAGAGCGCCCGCUCGAGUCACAGCUGCUGAGUGACAGGCUGGGCUCCGAGUCCAGUCCAGACCACAGACGAGUGCCUGCAGCUGCCUCCCUGGGUGGAUGUCCCCAGCAAGCCCCAGAAGGCCCUGGGUAGUAUCCCCUGGAGGGUGGACUCACAGAGCUGAAGAGACUGGACCUGGUCAACUGCCUCUGGGGGAAGAGCCAGGAUCCGACCUGGCCCCAGGAACGUGCUCAGAGGCCUCCCCUCCGUCUGGGUGGACGAGCCAAAGGCCACACUGUGGUUUGUAUGUCCCCCGAAGACGGGGCCUUAGGCUUGGGCCCUACCAUGGCACUGCUGAGGGGUGGUGGGAGCUGUAAGGUAGGCCUAGUAGGAGGUCUUUAGGCCACUGGAGUGUGCCCUCAAGGGCACGGCAGCCCCAGCCUCCCCCUCCUCUCCGCUUCCUGGCCACGAGGGGAGAGAGCGGUCUGCCUGCCACACACACCAGCCCCGAGGUGCUGCCACGGGCCCAAAGCAAUGCAGCCAACGGAGCAUGGGUGGAAACCUGUCCAACCGUGAGCCAGGCAAGCCUGCUCUCCCCAGGUCGGACACCUCAGCCAUCUGUUAGAGCAACAGGAAGCUGACCGGCGGCCGUGAGGCCAGGAGCUCCUGGGAGCUCGGCCACAGCAGCAGGAACGCCCGCGCCCAGUCCAGCCCACCCCGGUAGGAACCGGGCCCUUGUCUGUCGGAGCCGUGUUUCGCUGGGUGUCCGAGUGUGAGGCGGCCCCACCGUCUCUCAUUAACACAGUCAGCGGCGCUCGUCCCUGGGGGCCUCUUCCCCUGUGCUCUGUGGCAUCUGGAGGCAGGCACCUGUCUCAAAGGAAGCUUAUCUGGUGUUUAAAAACAGAAACUGGAAAUUGGGGUUCUUCGGCUGGGGAGCUGCUGGCCUGAGGAGAGUGGCGCGGAGGGAGGGUCCUGAGGGAAGCGCUGGGGGUUGGCCGCACCUUACCAGCUUUGUGGUGGCCGAGGGAGUUGUCCUGUGUCCUGGUAACCACAGCACUGGGCACAACAGUGUGCCCCCAGGUGGGAUGGCGGGCUGCAGACAGCAGGUGGGACACGGGAGGUGCCUGGCACCACUGCAGGACACCCCCAGCUGGUGAUGUCGAGGACACCACCUGGCUCCCAGGCGUCAUGAAGAUGGGGGUGAAAAUCAGUCUCCUGGUGACGGGGGAAAAGGGCUGACCCAGCUGGUCCCCAACAAGAAACGCAGCCUUCUCCAUCAGAACCUGCAGCUGGCCUCGUGGUCUGCCCUGAGCAGAGUAGGCAAAAGGUUAACUGAACCAACGUCAAACUCUGAUCCGGUGCAGAACUUUCAGGUCUUUAGAGGAGACGCAGAGGAGGACACUCUCCUACCCGUCAUUUGUCUUCUCUGCCAGCUCCUAAAGCAACGGCAGAGCAUCUCUUUCCCCAGGAACUCGCCUGGUUUUGGUCUCUUGGUGGAUGCGCUUCCUGAGCUGCCCCUGGCUGGAUGCUCCGCUCUGCCGCCUGAUCCCACCUGAGAAUGACGAGGACACACCUCUCUACCCAGGGUCCUAGCUGUCACCUCACCUCCUAAAGGCGUGGCCUGUGGAGUCAGCCUGCAAGUUGAAUGCUGUGGCCCUGCUGGUGACAGCAGGGGCCCAGGCGCUUAAUUAAGAAGCCGGUUUCAGCCCCAGGGCGCCGUCCCUGCCUGUCUACACCCAGGCCUUCACGGCUGGCUGCUGCUUGGUCCUCCACUGACACGGGAGGUGGACCCUCAAAGGUCAGUGUCCACAGUAUGUGCUGCGCAGCUCUUGCUGCUCUUGACACGUGGCUUUCCCGUUUCGCUAAAGGCGUGAAUGUGAAAUGAAACAAUAAGCUGUUUGUGGAAGAAGGCCGCCUGCCCCACGCCCCCAACUGUCAAAAGAAAGGUGACGUUUUUAUUCUGGUCAAGACCCUUGUCAGUCAUACACAAGGUGAGGAUGGGCAGUCCCGGGCCAUCAGGGGUCCACAAGCUUGGCCCACAGAUGAUGCAGGUCCCUAGGCUCAGGCUGCUUCUAAAAUCCCUAGGUCACCUGGCAGAAGCAUAAAUAAGAGGUCACAGGGAGGAGAGAAGUGACGGGGACUAUGCAGGGCAUCACCUGCACCCUUUACUGGAGACUUUGAAGGAGGUCUGACUUAUAACACAAAACCACACAUCUUUCUCCACAUCACCAGGGAUUUCCCCCAAACAUUACCUCGAGAGACACCAAUUGUGCUAAGCAGAACAGCGCCCCAGAAGCUGCCGCGUCCUGGUCCUUGGAACACGUGACAGCCAGCCCUCCUGGCUGGGCACCGGUUCAACCGACUGUGAUGGGAAACAGGGCAAAAGUUGCAUCUGUCCUGAA